rnacentral:rRNA from 2 species
UCUGUUGUUGGAGAAGAACGUGCGUGAGAGUAACUGUUCACGCAGUGACGGUAUCCAACCAGAAAGUCACGGCUAACUACGUGCCAGCAGCCGCGGUAAUACGUAGGUGGCAAGCGUUAUCCGGAUUUAUUGGGCGUAAAGCGAGCGCAGGCGGUUGCUUAGGUCUGAUGUGAAAGCCUUCGGCUUAACCGAAGAAGUGCAUCGGAAACCGGGCGACUUGAGUGCAGAAGAGGACAGUGGAACUCCAUGUGUAGCGGUGGAAUGCGUAGAUAUAUGGAAGAACACCAGUGGCGAAGGCGGCUGUCUGGUCUGCAACUGACGCUGAGGCUCGAAAGCAUGGGUAGCGAACAGGAUUAGAUACCCUGGUAGUCCAUGCCGUAAACGAUGAGUGCUAGGUGUUGGAGGGUUUCCGCCCUUCAGUGCCGGAGCUAACGCAUUAAGCACUCCGCCUGGGGAGUACGACCGCAAGGUUGAAACUCAAAGGAAUUGACGGGGGCCCGCACAAGCGGUGGAGCAUGUGGUUUAAUUCGAAGCUACGCGAAGAACCUUACCAGGUCUUGACAUCUUGCGCUAACCUUAGAGAUAAGGCGUUCCCUUCGGGGACGCAAUGACAGGUGGUGCAUGGUCGUCGUCAGCUCGUGUCGUGAGAUGUUGGGUUAAGUCCCGCAACGAGCGCAACCCUUGUUACUAGUUGCCAGCAUUAAGUUGGGCACUCUAGUGAGACUGCCGGUGACAAACCGGAGGAAGGUGGGGACGACGUCAGAUCAUCAUGCCCCUUAUGACCUGGGCUACACACGUGCUACAAUGGACGGUACAACGAGUCGCAAGCUCGCGAGAGUAAGCUAAUCUCUUAAAGCCGUUCUCAGUUCGGACUGUAGGCUGCAACUCGCCUACACGAAGUCGGAAUCGCUAGUAAUCGCGGAUCAGCAUGCCGCGGUGAAUACGUUCCCGGGCCUUGUACACACCGCCCGUCACACCAUGGGAGUUUGUAACGCCCAAAGUCGGUGGCCUAACCUUUAUGGAGGGAGCCGCCUAAGGCGGGACAGAUGACUGGGGUGAAGUCGUAACAAGGUAGCCGUAGGAGAACCUGCGGCUGGAUCACCUCCUUUCUAAGGAA